UACGAGGGGGGGCAAGCGUUGUUCGGAAUUACUGGGCGUAAAGGGCUCGUAGGCGGCCAACUAAGUCAUACGUGAAAUCCCUCGGCUUAACCGGGGAACUGCGUCUGAUACUGGAUGGCUUGAGUUCGGGAGAGGGAUGCGGAAUUCCAGGUGUAGCGGUGAAAUGCGUAGAUAUCUGGAGGAACACCGGUGGCGAAGGCGGCAUCCUGGACCGAUACUGACGCUGAGGAGCGAAAGCCAGGGGAGCAAACGGG
rnacentral:rRNA from 1 species